CCAACCACGGUCAGUUCAUCUGAAUGUUCAAGUGCAGAGCAGCCAUCGUGAAGCGCCAUGUCCUAGCUGUAAAGUAACAGGAGGACCCACCUUGGUAUCUAGCUUUCAGCCAGGUACAUUGUUUUGAUUGAACUAUUAAAGAAGCGUCACUCUCCAUAUGGACUUUUCAUGAGCUCUGAUAGCAGCAAAGGUUGACUAGAAGUCUAGAACUAGCUGUUAGAGAUUGCUGUAUUAUCACCAUCAGUGUGCAGAAGGAAAACUGUAACAAUUUGAACCCCAUAGCACUCUGAAUUUGACCAGGAAUGGUCCUUUGCUUUCAGGAUUGAGACAAAAAUUAGGUAUAGCUCGGGACAUAAGUAGCUGUGCAUUCAUCGCCCAAAAGCCACCUCUGCAACAAUGGCUCCAUCUCUUGCAACUCUCCUUGCUACUGCUUCCAUCCUCUCUUUCUUUGCUCUGUUCCCAAAAGCUGCAUCCCAUGACACUCUAUCACUGGGUUCAUCUCUCAGAGUUGAAUCCUACCAAACCAACAUCUUGCAAUCAUCAGAUGGCACUUUCUCCUCUGGCUUCUAUGAAAUCUAUACCAACGCCUUCACGUUCUCAAUAUGGUACUCAAAGGCAGCCAACAAGACCAUUGUCUGGAGCGCAAACCCUGACCGUCCUGUACAUGCCAGGAGAUCGGCUAUAACCUUGCGGAAGGAUGGAACCAUGGUCCUUACAGAUUAUGAUGGCACAGUCAUGUGGCAAACUGAUGGCAAUUUCACAAAAGUUCAGCAUGCUCAUCUUUUGAACACUGGGAAUCUCGUCAUCAAGGACUCAAGAGGUAACACCGUCUGGCAAAGUUUUGAUUCACCAACAGACACUUUCCUACCAACACAACACAUCACUGAUACCACAAAGUUAGUCCCUACAACUCAAUCACAUAGUCCUGGUAACUAUAUCUUCCGAUUCAGUGACCUUUCAGCACUUUCGCUUAUAUAUCAUGUGCCUGAAGUUUCGGAUAUAUACUGGCCAGACCCUGAUCAAUUUCUCUACCAGGAAGGCAGAAACCAGUAUAAUAGUACAAGGUUGGGAAUCCUCAGUGAUAAUGGGAUGCUUGGAUCGAGCGAUUUUGCAGAUGGCCAACCACUUGUAGCCUCUGAUGCAGGGCCAAGCAUUAAGAGAAGGUUAACUCUUGACCCUGAUGGUAAUCUGCGUCUGUAUAGCCUGAAUGACUCAGAUGGGUCAUGGUCAGUUUCAAUGGUAGCAAUGUCCCAACCUUGCAAUAUUCAUGGUUUAUGUGGUCCUAGUGGAAUCUGCCAUUACUCACCUAAACCUAUAUGUUCAUGCCCACCAGGUUAUGUGAUGAGAAACCCAGGUAACUGGACUGAAGGUUGUAUGGCUAGCGUUAACAUAACAUGUGAUCAUUAUGACAAAAAAUCUAUGAAGUUUGUGAAACUCCCAAACACGGAGUUUUGGGGGUCAGAUCAGAAACAUCGUCUGUCAGUUUCUUUUCAUACUUGUAGGAAUAUUUGCAUCAGUGACUGCACCUGUAAAGGCUUUCAAUAUAAGGAAGGUACAGGAUCAUGCUAUCCAAAAGCUUAUCUUUUCAGUGGAAGAACUUACCCAACACGGGAUGUAAGAACUAUAUAUCUCAAGCUUCCAAUAAGGGUGAGUGUUUCAAAUGUCGUUAUUCCCCAUUCCACUGUGUUUGAUUCUGUGCUACGUCAUCUGGACUGUGAUCAGAUGAACAAAAGCAUCAGAGAACCAUUUCCAGAUGUGCAUAAGACCGGUGGAGGAGAAUCAAAGUGGUUUUACUUCUAUGGGUUCAUAGCUGCAUUUUUUGUUGUUGAAGUUUCCUUUAUUUCGUUUGCAUGGUUCUUUGUUUUGAGAAGAGAGCUUAGGCCAUCAGAAUUAUGGGCAGCUGAGGAAGGUUACAAAGUAAUGACUAGUAAUUUUCGAAGGUAUAGUUACAGAGAACUUGUCAAGGCAACGAGAAAGUUUAAAGUUGAGCUAGGAAAGGGAGGUUCAGGGACUGUAUACAAAGGUGCCCUUGAAGAUGAUAGGCAAGUGGCUGUGAAGAAGCUGGAAAAUGUAAAGCAAGGCAAGGAAGAGUUUCAAGCUGAGCUAAGUGUAAUUGGGAGGAUCAAUCACAUGAAUCUUGUAAGGAUAUGGGGCUUUUGUUCAGAAGGAUCUCAUAGGUUGUUGGUUUCUGAAUAUGUUGAGAAUGGAUCACUGGCUAACAUUUUGUUCAAUGACAAAAACAACAUCUUGUUGGACUGGAAGGGACGGUUUAAUAUCGCGUUAGGUGUUGCAAAAGGGUUAGCCUAUCUUCACCAUGAGUGCUUAGAGUGGGUCAUCCAUUGUGAUGUGAAACCUGGGAACAUACUGUUAGAUGAAAAUUUUGAGCCUAAGAUCACCGACUUUGGGUUGGCAAAGUUACUAAACAGAGGUGAGCCAAACCAGAACGUUUCCCAUGUAAGAGGAACAUUAGGCUACAUUGCUCCUGAAUGGGUGUCUGGUCUCCCCAUCACAGCAAAAGUUGAUGUAUACAGCUACGGAGUUGUGCUCCUUGAGCUUUUAUCAGGCACCAGAGUUUCAGAGUUGGUUGAAGGUUCAGAGGAGGUUCAUAAUAUGCUUAGGAAGCUUGUCAGGAUGCUUUCUGAAAAAUUGGAAGGGGAGGAACAAUCGUGGAUUGAUGAGUUUGUGGAUUCGAAAUUGGACCGGCCAUUCAACUAUGUGCAAGCAGGAACACUAAUCAAAUUGGCAGUGUCCUGCUUGGAGGAAGACAGAAGCAAGAGACCAACCAUGGAAUAUAUAGUAAAGACCCUCCUGGAAGCUGAUGAUUGAAUGGCCGAAUGGACUAUAUGUGUAUUUCCUGCUUGGACGGAGAUAGAAGCAAUAGAUCAACUCCAUACCAGCUGAUCAGGCUGAUAAGUAUUUUUGGUUUGUCAGUUGAAGAUGUAAUAUGGUAUUAGAAGUCAAUGAUAAUCAUGGAACCAGUGGCGAAACUAGUACCGCCAUGGAUGAAGCCAUGUAGGUGUUGGUCCUAAACUGCUGGCAUGCUCCUGACAAAUGCUAGAAAUGGAAUACAGUAUGCUGAUUUAUCAGUAUAUUGGGUCCAUUGUCCUGGUAAACAUGGUAGGUAAAUGUUCUUACCAUAGAUGGAGAGGAGGAGGAAAACCGGUGGCCGCCGCCUCCUGCUGUGCUGCGGCGGCGGCGGCAUGUGGU